UACGUAGGGUCCGAGCGUUGUCCGGAAUUACUGGGCGUAAAGAGCUCGUAGGUGGUUUGUCGCGUUGUUCGUGAAAACUCACAGCUCAACUGUGGGCGUGCGGGCGAUACGGGCAGACUGGAGUACUGCAGGGGAGACUGGAAUUCCUGGUGUAGCGGUGGAAUGCGCAGAUAUCAGGAAGAACACCCGUGGCGAAGGCGGUUCUCUGGGACGGUACUGACGCUGAGACGCGAAAGCGUGGGGAGCAAACAGG
rnacentral:rRNA from 1 species